CCUCACGUGCCAGCGGCCUCAGUCCGGGCUUGGGAGCCAGCACGGACACGAGAGACCUCCCGGGGAGUCCGUCCCGCUCCGCGGCAGGAGCUCACGCGCGGCGACAGGUGCCCGGCACCAGGGCCGUGGCUGUCGUCAUGCCGCGGGGUCUCGCAGCGUUCCUUCUCGGGCUGCUCGUGGCCGGCUUCGGCUCCCCACCUGAAGCGGCAGGACAGGCAAAUAGAUGCGAUAAGAAAUCUCUGCUUACCAUUAGGACCGAGUGCCAAUCCUGCUCACUCAACUUGGGAAUUAAGUGCCCAGACGGCUACACCAAGGUUACCAAUGGCUCCAUGGGGGUCCGAGACUGCAGGUACGCCUUCGAGAUCAGGAAGUACUCGCUGUAUCUCCCCGGAUGCCGCCAUAUCUGUAGGAAGGACCACGUCCAACCUCAGUGCUGUCCAGGCCACUGGGGCCCCAACUGCAUGGAGUGUCCAGGAGGAGCGAGGUCCCCCUGCAGCGGCAGGGGCAGCUGUGCAGAAGGCAUGGAAGGAAACGGAAGGUGCUCUUGCCAGGAUGGGUUUGGGGGAACGGCCUGCGAAGCCUGUGCUCAUGACAACUUAUUCGGACCCAACUGUUCAGCAGUGUGCAGCUGUGUGCAUGGAGUGUGCAACAGUGGGAUAGAUGGUGAUGGAAGCUGCGAGUGCUACUCUGCAUACACUGGCUCCCACUGCGACCAACCCAUCCCUGAAUGUGCAGACCUGCUCUGCCCAGAAAAUUCCAGAUGCUCACCUUCCAGCCAAGAUGAAACGAAACUGGAAUGCAAAUGUCUUCCCAAUUACCAAGGCGAUGGCCACUACUGCAAGCCCAUCAAUCCAUGUUUACAAGCAGUCUGCCACCCUCACGCACGUUGCACGUACCUGGGACCGAAUAGGCACAGUUGCACAUGCCAAGAAGGCUACCACGGGGAUGGCCAGGUGUGCUUACCAGUAGACCACUGCCAGACUAACUACGGAAACUGCUCUACAGAGUCUACAGUGUGCAUAUAUGACGGGCCUGGACAGUCUCACUGUGAGUGUAAGGAACAUUACCGCAAUUACAUGCCUGGAGUGGGGUGCAGCAUGGUGGAUGUCUGUGAGUCUAAUAACCCCUGUCACAGGAAUGCUAACUGCAGUACCAUCGCACCGGGCCAACCCAAAUGCACUUGCCAGAAGGGUUACGUGGGUGACGGCUCAACUUGUUACGGAAACAUCAUGGAGCAACUGAGGGAAUUAAACACUGAACCCAAAGGAAAAUGGCAAGGAAGAUUGACCUCUUUCAUCUCACUCCUGGACAAAACCUAUGCCUGGCCGCUAACUAACCUGGGACCCUUCACUGUGCUCUUGCCCACAGACAAGGGACUGAAAGGAUUCAAUGUAGAAGAUCUCUUGGUGGAUAAGGAGGCUGCUCAGUACUUUGUGAAACUCCACAUAAUUGCUGGGCAGAUGAGCACCGAGCGUAUGAAUAACACAGACACUUUCUACACCCUGACUGGAAAGUCAGGAGAAAUCUUCAAUGGCGAUAAGGACAAUCAAAUAAAGCUUAAACUCUGUGGAGGCAAAAAGAAGGUAAAAAUUAUACAGGGGGACAUAGUUGCUUCCAAUGGGCUCCUGCACAUCCUUGACAGAGCCAUGGACCAGAUGACACCCACAUUUGAGAGCAACACUGAGCAAACCAUAAUGACAAUGCUGCAACUAAAAUACAGCAAGUUCAGGUCUUUGUUAGAGGAAACCAAUGUGGGACGUGCCUUAGAAGAAGAUGGGGCUGGCACACCAUACACCAUUUUUGUUCCAAGUAAUGAAGCCUUGGACAACAUGAAGGAUGGCACUCUUGAUUACCUCCUUUCUCCAGAGGGAUCCCGGAAGCUUCUGGAACUCGUCAGAUACCACAUUGUCCCACUUACUCAGCUUGAGGUGGCGACCCUCAUUCUGGCCCCACACAUUAGGAGUCUGGCCAACCAGUUCAUCCAGUUCAACACCACAAACAAUGGCCAGAUCCUGGCGAAUGAUGUGGCCGUGGAAGACACCGAGGUCAUUGCCCAAAACGGCCGCAUCUACACUCUGAGCGGUGUCCUCAUUCCUCCCUCCAUCAUGCCCAUUCUGCCCCACCGAUGUGAUGAAAGCAAGAGAGAGAUGAAGCUGGGCACCUGUGUGAGCUGCUCCCUGGUGUACUGGAGCAAAUGUCCUGCUAACGCUGAGCCCACAGCGCUUUUCACACACAGAUGUGUCUACACCAGCAGAGUAAGGAGCCUGAAGACAGGCUGUGCCCGAUACUGCAACACCACAGUGCAGAUCCCCAGGUGCUGCCAAGGCUUCUACGGGCCUGACUGUACUCCGUGUCCAGGAGGCUUCUCAAAUCCCUGCUCAGGGAAUGGCCAGUGCGCCGACGGCCUCAACGGCAAUGGGACGUGCCUUUGUCAGGCCGGCUUCCGAGGCUCCCAGUGCCAGUUCUGCUCCGAUCCCAACAAGUUCGGACCUCGCUGUGACAAAAAGUGUCUGUGCCUGUUGGGGACAUGCGAUAGCAGGAUCGACAGCGAUGGUGCCUGCCUGGCCGGCACCUGCCGCGGAGGCUCUGCUGGGAGGUUCUGCCACAAGCACACGUCUGCCUGUGGGCCCGACGCACAGUCAUGUCACAUCCACGCCACCUGUGAAUACAGCAAUGGGACAGCCAGCUGUGUUUGCAAAGCGGGCUACGAAGGGGAUGGAGGUCUCUGUUCAGAAGUGGACCCUUGCACAGGAUUCGCGUCAGGGCGCUGUAGCCGAAAUGCGGAGUGCGUCAGAACCGGCACAGGGACCCACACAUGCGUGUGCCAGCAGGGAUGGACUGGGGACGGCAGGGACUGCUGGGCCAUUGACAACUGCCUGCUGCCCGGGAACGGCGGCUGCCACGUCAACGCCACCUGCUUGUACGUAGGCCCCGGCCAGAAUGAGUGUGAGUGCAAGGAAGGAUUCCGAGGAAAUGGGAUUGAUUGUGAAGCAGUAACAUCGUGCUUGGAACAAACUGGACAAUGUCACCCGCUAGCAACCUGUCAGCUUAUGUCGUCGGGCCUCUGGAGCUGUGUGUGCCCGGAGGGCUACGAGGGCGAUGGGCUCCUGUGCUAUGGAAAUGCUGCGGUGGAGCUGUCAUUUCUGUCCGCCGCAGCCCCGUUUAACCAGUGGAUAAAUGAUGCCUCUCUGCAACCCCUGCUGUCGGCUGCCGCCAACCUCACCGUCCUUGUGCCUUCCCAGCAAGCCAUUGCAGACAUGGACCAUGAUGAGAAAACCUUCUGGCUGUCCAAGAGCCACAUCCCAACCCUCAUAAAAUACCACAUGCUGCAGGGCACCUACGGACUGGCCGACCUGCAGGCCCUGUCACCCUUGGACAGGUUGGCCACAGCUUUGCCGGGCAGCUUUCUUCAUGUGGCGAAGGCGGACAGGAAUAUCACAAUUGAAGGAGCAGCUGUCAUUGAUGGUGACAAUGCAGCCACGAACGGCGUGAUACACGUCAUCAGCAAGGUGCUGGUUCCCCAAAAAAGUCUGACUGGCCCCUUACCGAGCCUGCUGGCGCGGCUGGACCAGAUGCCCGACUACUCGACCUUCCGGGCCUCCAUCACCCAGCACAGCCUGGCCGGUGCCAUCGAGGCAGCCGGGGCCUACACAGUGUUCGCUCCCAGCAACCGUGCCGUGGAGAAGUACCUCCAGGAGAGGAAGGCCGCCACGCUAGAGGAGGACGUACUCAGGUACCACGUGGUCCUGGAAGAGAAGCUGCUGAGGAAUGACCUGCACAGUGGCAUGCACCGGGAGACCAUGUUGGGCUUCCCCUACCUGCUUGGCUUCUUUCUCCAGGAUGGCCAGCUGUAUGUAAACGAGGCUCCAAUAAAUUACACCAACGCAGCCACUGACAAGGGAGUGAUCCACGGUUUGGGGAAAGUUCUGGAAAUUCAGAAGAACAGGUGUGUCAGUAACGACACUACUAUUGUGCGAGGAAAAUGUGGGAAGUGUUUCCAGCAACCCAUCUGCCCAGCUGGAACUAAACCACUGGGCACAGAGAUAAAGAGAUGUAUCUACACCAUCUAUUUCAUGGGCAAGCGAUCCCUGUUCAUUGGGUGCCAGGCAAAAUGUGUGAAGACCAUCAUUACCCGAGAGUGCUGUGCCGGCUUCUAUGGCCCCCAAUGCCAGCCCUGCCCCGGGGAAGCGGGAAACGUGUGCUUCGGGAACGGGAUCUGCUUGGACGGCGUGAACGGCACGGGCGCCUGCGAGUGUGGACCAGGCUUCCUGGGCACGGCCUGUGAAACCUGCACCCCUGGCGCCUAUGGGGCCCACUGCGACCAAGUGUGUUCUUGUGUCCACGGGAGAUGCAGCCAAGGACCCUCAGGUGACGGCUCCUGUGACUGUGAUGCUGGCUGGCGAGGAGUGAAAUGUGACACCGAGGUCACAGAAGACGACUGCCAUGGGACAUGCCACACUAGUGCCAACUGCCUCCUCAAUGCCAACGGCACAGCCUCCUGCAGAUGUGCAGCAGGAUUCCAAGGGAAUGGGACCGUGUGCACAGCCAUCAACGCCUGCGAGACCAGCAACGGGGGCUGCUCCUCGGAGGCCGACUGCAGGAGAACCACACCGGGAGGCCGGCGCUGCGUGUGCCGGGCAGGCUACACGGGUGACGGUGUCGUGUGCCUCGAGAUUAACCCGUGUUUGGAGAACAACGGUGGCUGUCACAGGAAUGCAGAGUGCACGCAGACAGGACCCAACCAGGCAGUCUGUAACUGUUUGCCCAAAUACACCGGAGACGGGAAGGUCUGCACGCUCAUCAACACCUGCCUUACGAAAAAUGGUGGCUGUAGUGAAUUUGCCGUGUGCAACCACACGGGGCGAGAAGAAAGGACGUGCACCUGCAAGCCCAACUACAUCGGGGAUGGGUUCACCUGCCGUGGCAACAUCUACCAGGAGCUUCCCAAGAACCCAAAAACGUCACAGUAUUUCUUCCAGCUGCUGGAGCAUUCUGUCCGAGACCUGAGCGGCCCAGGCCCCUACACCGUCUUUGCACCUUUAUCCACAGCCUUCGAUGAGGAGCCUCGGGUCAGAGACUGGGACAGGCAGGGCCUUAUGCCCCAGGUACUGCGCUACCACGUGGUCGCCUGCCAACAGCUGCUCCUGGAGAACCUGCGGCUGACCCCGAAUGCUACAUCUCUGCAAGGGGAGCGCAUCGUCAUCUCUGUGUCUCAGGACACGGUGUACAUAAAUAAUCAGGCAAGGAUCGUGACCAGUGACCUCAUCAACACCAAUGGAGUCAUCCACAUCAUAGACAGACUGUUGUCCCCCCAGAACUUGCUGGUCACCCCCAAGGAUGCCUCCGGGAGGGUUCUGCAAAACCUGACGACAGUGGCGGUAAACCACGGCUACACCAAGUUCAGCAGCUUGCUGCAGGACCUGGGCUUGCUAGGCAUCAUCACCGACCCUAUCCACACUCCAGUCACUCUCUUCUGGCCCAGUGACCGAGCCCUGGAAGCCCUGCCCCCUGAACAACAGGAUUUCCUGUUCAACCAAGACAACAAGGACAAGCUCAAGGAGUAUCUGAAGUUCCAUGUGAUUCGAGAUUCCAAGAUCUUGGCAGCGGAGCUCCCCAGGGCCACUGCCUGGAAGACACUGCAGGGCUCAGAGUUGGGUGUGAAGUGUGGAGCUGGUGGUGACAUCGGCGACCUCUUCCUGAAUGACCAACCAUGCAGAAUUGUACAACGAGAACUGCUGUUUGACGUGGGAGUGGCCUACGGCAUAGACUGCCUCCUGGUCAGUGCCACCCUCGGCGGCCGCUGUGACACCUUCGCCACAUACAACUUCUCGGGAGAUUGUUGGAGCUGUGCCAAUACGCCCAGCUGCCCGAGGUGGAGCAAACCGAAGGGCGUGAAGCAGAAGUGUCGCUACAACCUGUCGUUCCGGGGUUCCCUGGACGGCUGCCGGGAGCAGUGCACCAUGGUGAUCCGGCUCCCCAGGUGCUGCAAGGGCUACUAUGGCCGGGACUGCCAGGCCUGCCCCGGAGGCGCCGAAGCUCCCUGCAACAACCGUGGCGUCUGCCUGGACCAGUACUCAGGCAUAGGGCAGUGUAGAUGCAACACAGGCUUCAACGGGACGGCAUGCGAGCUGUGCCUGCCGCGGAGGUUCGGGCCUGACUGCCAGCCCUGCCGCUGCUCUGACCACGGACAGUGUGACGACGGCACCACGGGCUCCGGGCGCUGCUUCUGCGAGGCGGGCUGGACAGGCCGCUUCUGCGACACCCGGACAGCUGUGCCUCCAGCAUGCAUGCCUCCUUGCUCUGCUCAUGCCACCUGUAGGGAAAACAACACGUGUGAGUGUAACCUGAAUUACGAAGGGGACGGAAUAACGUGCACAGCUGUGGACUUCUGCAGACAGAACAAUGGGGGCUGUGCCACGGUGGCCCAGUGUUCCCAGAAGGGCACAGAGGUGUCCUGCAGCUGUCAGAAAGGCUACAGAGGGGAUGGCCGCAGCUGCACAGAGAUAGACCCCUGCGCUGACGGCCUCAACGGUGGGUGUCACGAGCAUGCCACCUGCAGGAUGACCGGCCCGGGCAAGCACAAGUGCGAAUGUAAGAGUCACUACGUGGGAGACGGGAUGGAUUGUGAGCCAGAGCAGCUGCCCCUCGACCGCUGUCUGCAGGACAACGGGCAGUGUCACGCAGAUGCCAACUGUGCUGACCUCCACUUCCAGGAUGCCACCGUUGGCGUGUUCCACCUCCGCUCCCCACUGGGCCAGUACAAGCUCACCUUUGACAAAGCCAGAGAGGCCUGUGCCAACGAGGCUGCAAGCAUGGCAACUUACAACCAGCUCUCCUACGCCCAGAAGGCCAGGUACCACCUGUGCUCAGCAGGCUGGCUGGAGAGUGGGCGGGUGGCCUACCCCACAGCCUAUGCUUCCCAGAAUUGUGGCUCUGGCGUUGUUGGAAUCAUUGACUAUGGACAAAGGAACAACAAAAGUGAAACGUGGGAUGUCUUCUGCUAUCGGAUGAAAGACGUGAACUGCACCUGCAAGGCGGGCUACGUGGGAGACGGCUUCUCGUGCAGUGGGAAUCUGCUGCAGGUCCUGACAUCCUUCCCCUCGCUGACCAACUUCCUCAUGGACGUGCUGGCCUAUUCCAACAGCUCAGCCAGGGGCCGGGCGUUCCUAAAACUCCUGACAGACCCGUCCCUCCGCAGCACCCUGUUCGCCCCUCACAACAGCGGGCUGGGGGGAAACCAGUCGCUGUCUGGGCGGGACAUCGAGCACCAUCUUGCCAACAUCAGCAUGUUUUUCUACAACGACCUUGUCAACGGUACCGUCCUGCAGACCAAGCUGGGAAGCCAGCUGCUCAUCACCUCCCGCCGCGACCAGCAACAACCGGAGACCAGGUUUGUGGAUGGGAGAGCCAUUCUGCAGUGGGACGUCUUUGCUUCCAACGGGGUCAUUCAUGUCAUUUCCAGGCCCUUAAAAGCACCCCCCACUCCACUGCCACCGGCCCACGCCGCAAGGACAGGGAUCGUCUUUGCCACCAUCCUGGUCCUCGGAGCCGCUGCUUCAGCUGCAUAUUCCUACUUUCGACUAAACCGGAGAAGAGCGGGUUUUCAGCACUUUGAGUCGGAGGAGGAUAUAGACGUCUCGGGUCUUGGCAGCCAGCGGCCUGAGAACAUACCCAAUCCCUUGUACGAGAGCAACGCCCCCACAGCCCCAGAACCUUCCUGUGACCGCUGUAUGCCCAGGGGGCAGAACUGCCCCAGGAUCAGAAGUCCUACAGCGGGGGUGCUGUCCUCUACCCUCGUACCUGGCACUGUCGCAGCCAGCCCGGACACCCGGACGCAGCUCCUGCAGCCUCACAAAACCUUGGCGCCAUCAGAGGUGCACACGGCACACAGCUUGGGGUGCUGCCUGGGGAGCACAGCUUCUGGGUUCUGAGUAGACUCCCACCAACGCGCCAGAGUUGGAAGAAGAAUGUUUAAUCUGAACGCAGGUUUUUGUGAUCAUAGAAAUCACCUUUUCGUAGGGAGCUGGUGCCAUCCUCAAUGUCGUAUCUCAUUUAAUCCUCACACUUCCCUGCAUACCAUCAAGGCCCUUCACCGAGUAGGAGAAGCCAGCAGAACUGAGAAGACCUGUCCUGGGCACAGAGCUGCAGGCCGGGCUGCCCCCAGGCCGCCGCACCUGCCUCCCGACCCCAGACAGCGCCGGACACACACCCCACCACACGCCCUCACCGGGCACCUGGAGCAGUGUUUCAGGCUGUAGGGAUGGAAAAAGGUUUCCUCUGCCCUCGUAGGGUCCCUGGCUGGACCUGGAAGUAGUCGGACAGAUUCACGGGGAGAAAGCACAGAAGCUUCACUGAAAGUUUGCACGAUGCUGAAGGCCAGCAGCGGGACAGCAGGGACCCCCUGGGGGCACUGUGAGGGCCCUGCCCUGCCCACCUGCCCCGGACACCCACCUGCCCCGAUUGCCCACCUGCCCUUGGCCGCCUGCCUGCCCAAACUGCCCAAGCCACCCUGCCUCCUCCAACAGCCCGUCACCAUGCAUCUUCAGCACCAGCUGCCCUUUGGAAUGUCAGGUCCUUUAACACUUCAAAUAUGAAGCACUCAAGCAUACCUCACCUGUCUGGUGACUCUAGGGGUUAUCUCAUUUCCGUGGGUGACCAGGUUAAAUCCACCCACCUACCCAGGGGGCCCAACUCUCUGCUGUCUCUUUGUACCCUCAGAUGGCACUUAACUAUGUCCUCCCAGCACUAACCAUGACCUUGCCUCCCCUCCCUGUUAGACCAUAAGCAUCCGAAGGCCGAGGCCUGCCCCCGUGCCCCCUGUGUCUCAGGGUCCAGCACACACAUGGUGCUCAAUAAAUGUUUA